GGGUCAGUAGGUUGGUCGUGCCACCGGUACGUACUGGUCUCACUGAUUCCUCCUUCCUGAAGAACCGUGAUGCCAUUAAUUUGGUGUUGCGGGGAAACAGGACUGUUACUUUGAAAAAAUUAGAGUGUUUAAAGCAAGCUAACGCUUGAGUACAUUAGCAUGGAAUAAUGAAAUAGGACGAUCGAUCCUAUUUUGUUGGUUUCUAGGAUUGACGUA
rnacentral:rRNA from 1 species